rnacentral:tmRNA from 2 species
CCCCUUUUCAUUUGCGCUCGUGCCCCUAUAUGGGUCCUUGCCGGUUUCGACCGGAUAUGGCGAUAAAUUGUAACGUGCAAUAGAUGCAGCGGACCCGGGGGCGGUACCCGGCGGCUCCACCACCACCACCCGGCAGAAAUGGACGGGGCCCUGUUGUCGCAGGGGUGAUGAUGGGGCCGAACUAGGAUCGACGUGUGUUGAAAAGCGUUAUUUUUGCCCGGGCUGAGUAACCCGUUCAAGGCUCAAAACCCACAAGUGCCAACGACAACGAAGCACUCGCUCUCGCGGCGUAAUUUGACGGCUUAACGGCCUGAAUUUACAAAGCUAAAGCGCGGUUGGACCGACCGGGCAACAGAACGGAUUCCA